rnacentral:lncRNA from 1 species
UUUUUGCUAUUACAAAUAUAAUAUUUGUGUAACUGUGCGAGUUUUUCUGUAGGAUAAAUUCCUAGAAGUGAAAUACCUAGUUCAGAGAUUAAACAUAUUUUGGUUUAGUAGGAUACUGUCAAUUUUCCAAAAUUGUCCAAAAAUAUUGUGAUAAUUUACACUCUUCACUGUAUGAGUGUGCUCAUUUUUCUACACCCUUGCUUAUACUGGAUAUUUCAGUCUUUUGUAUUUUACAUGAAAUGACAGGCAAUGAAAUUUUUUUUUACAUACAAAGCAUAGUGUACAGAAAUUUUUGUAUCUUAUUUUUUCACAUUUAGCAUAAGUCCAUUUUCACAUGGGUAGGAAAUUGAUGCAUGAAGUAAUGAAGGUCCCAGUUAGAAUGCAGAUAUAGGUAGAAAGAAAGAGUGGUGCUUAUUCCAGGCAUAAGUACAAAUAACACGUUGUCUCUAGAGCAUGGGAGAAAAAAUCCUUAAAACUGAGUUAGGCUAAAUAGUACAAAACAUGAAAUGUCUAAAGCUUUUGUCCUUAAUUUAAUAAUCCUUGGGAAGCAGAUGAAAGUUUCUGAGAAGAGUGAUGUGAUGAGAAUUGUGCUUUAGGAAAACGAUCUUGUAGUGUUGUGUGGGGCAGAAGAGGAUGGAGAUAAACAGAGAGGCCACUUGAGAAUAUUUCAAUAAUUUUGGUGACAGGUGAUGAAGGCUUUGUGCUUGGAGGUAAUGGCGGAAUGGAAAGUAGCAGACAGAUGUAAUAGAGAGAAUGGAAAGUAGAAGAGAGAUGCAAGAGGGAUAGGUAAGAAGGUGGAAGGAUGGAAGAAGCAUCUGCCGAGCUUGUUUGAAAAUUGGUGUCCAAAAGAAUGUUUGUGGUCAAAUCUUGAGAAUAUGGGGUUUUGAGUCUUGCUGACCAGAAAUGCGUUGACAGGCCACCAUCAGAGUAGUGAAGUCAGAUAUAAGAGCUAGUCUGGAGGAAAAGAUGAUGAAUUUUGUUGUGGACAAAUUAAACUUAUUGUCAUCCAAACACAAAUCUAUAUACAGUUGGAAAUUUGGAAGUGUGUGGAGAGGUGGGGUGGGGGGCAAUUGGAAGAUUUGGGAGAUAUCCUAGGGAUGAAGACUGAAGCUGUAGAAGUGAUGAUGAGCUUGCAGAGAGAUGUGGGGGCCAAGGUAAAAAGUCUUGGGAAUGAGGGACGCUUGGGUGGCUCAGUGGUCGAGUGCUGGCCUUUGGCCCAGGGCAUGAUCCUGGAGGUCCAGUAUCUAGUUCCACAUCCGGCUCUCUGCAUGGAGCCUGCUUCUCUCUCUGCCUAGGUCUUUAUGUCUGUCAUGAAUAAAUUAAGUCUUAAAAAAAAAAAAGUCUUGGGAAUGGAUACAUUCAUGUAUGAGGCAUGAAGAGGAACCAAACUUAAUUACAAUAUUUUUAUAACGACUGUUUCUAACAUUUGACCUUGGAUCUAGGUAGACAAUCCUUUAAUGCCCCCCAAAAGUCUGUGCCCACUUUUUUCUUUCCACCUUUGGUUCUUUUAUUGCUCCCAUUCAAUUUGUGUUCAUUCUGAACUUUACCUCGGUAAUGCCUCGUUUACUUACCACAUCAGCCUUGAGGGUCUCAUCUGAAGCUAUGGAUGGCUUAUUGUUUAAAACCUCAGAAGUGGAAUUCCUGGGUGGCUCAGAGGUUUAACGCCUGCCUUUGGCUCAGGGCCUGAUCCUGGAAACCCAGGAUUGAGUACCACGUCGGGCUCCCUUCACGGAGCCUGCUUCUUCCUCUUCCUGUGUCUCUGCCUCUCUCUCUUUCUGUGUCUGUCAUGAAUAAAUAAAUAAAAUCUUAAAAAAAAACCAACCCCCCUCCAAAAAAAACCUCAGAAGCCAGAUCAGAGACUAUACUUUUCUCUACUCAUUUGCUGUGACUCUGACAAAUGUCUUAAUCAGUGUCCUAUUUUACGUAAUUGGGACAAUUUUACCUUCCCACCUUCCAAGGUUGUUUUGAGGAAUGCAUGCUAAAUCCUUGACAUGACGUCUGACAUGUUGUAAGCCCUUGGUAAUUGUUAGCUCUUCUUAUUUUCUCCUAUACCUCUAAAUUUCUAUAAUUAAAUGCAAUUUUUUCCUCUUCUGCCCUGUGUGAUCUUAGACCAUAGUUUUUUAAAUAAAAUCUGUGAGCUUCAAGGUCCAUAGGACCAAAAAGAACCCUCCUUUGUAUGUUUCUUCCAAGGAUUAGAGUUCAUUUCUGUGAAGCACCUACUGUGAUGCCUAGAAUGGAUUCAAUAAGCAGUAUCAUUUAUAUGAUAAAUGACAUUUGCUUUUGUCUCAUCUAUUAGUUUUGCAUCUUUACACAACAGGCCAUUCCGCUUUGUACCUAAUUUUGUUUUGAGGACAGGGUUAUUGGAGGGCCAAGUGGAGGAUCCAGGUGAAAGCUUUCCAUCAUGUAAUAACGUAUAUACUUCUACUAAUCUUUUUUCCAGAGACGAAUAAAGGAGAUAGAAUCAUUUCUUGCUGUGAGGAUGCUGUGAUUAGGGGAAUUAGAUUUUUUUUUUUUUAAGAUUUUAUUUAUUUAUUCAUGAGAGACACAGAAAGAGAGAGAGAGGGGCAGAGACAGAAGCAGGCUCCAUACAGGGAGCCCGAUGUGGGACUCGAUUCCUGGUCUCCAGGAUCACACCUUGACCUGAAGGCAGGCGCUUAACUGCUGAGCCACCCAGGCAUCCCAGGGAAUCAGGAUUGGAUUGUAGAGUUCUCCAUUACUUUUCCUUUAGUGGCUUUCC